CCCACACAGACAGCCACAGCGAUUUUUCUAAAAACCACAUUGCUGUCUUUCAGGUCUUAGGGACCCAGCGCCAGGAGACGCUGCCCAAUGCCACCUUCUGCCUCAUCUCUGGCCACCGUCCCGAGGCUGCCUCACGCUUCCUCCAAGCCCUGCAGGCCGGCUGCAUCCCAGUGCUUCUCAGCCCCCGCUGGGAGCUGCCCUUCUCCGAGGUCAUCGACUGGACCAAGGCAGCCAUCGUAGCUGAUGAGAGGCUCCCGCUUCAGGUCCUGGCUGCCCUCCAGGAGAUGUCCCCUGCACGGGUCCUCGCCCUGCGUCAGCAGACCCAGUUUCUAUGGGAUGCCUACUUCUCCUCAGUGGAGAAGGUCAUCCAUACCACUCUGGAGGUUAUUCAGGACCGGAUUUUUGGAACAUCAGCUCACCCCUCACUGCUGUGGAACAGCCCCCCAGGGGCACUCCUGGCCCUGUCUACUUUUUCCACAAGCCCCCAGGACUUCCCUUUCUACUACCUGCAACAGGGCUCCCGCCCUGAGGGCAGAUUCAGCGCCCUGAUCUGGGUGGGGCCCCCAGGCCAGCCCCCUCUGAAGCUCAUCCAGGCGGUGGCAGG
rnacentral:sRNA from 1 species